UUUUCAAUACCUCAUUACGAAUGGGCCAAACACAUUUUUGCUUUACGCAACAAAAAGACUUGGACCGACCCUGCUCUUAGCCAUUCCAAUCUAACAGUAAAGACUCUUAAAAUUUCCUUCAUCUAAUCUUUCUAUAAAUAAUUUGAUACUUGGUUUAUACGCUUUUAAAAUAAUUUAUUUGGUGCCGGCUCAUCUAGAUGUACUCUUGAAAAAAUAU
rnacentral:sRNA from 1 species